UUGAACUCAUUAAGCGAUUGACACGUGAAUAGAAGUGUGAUUAUUGAUGCGUAUGAUUAUGUAUACUAACUAUUGAAUGGAUGUAAUGGAAUGAGAUAAUAGGAACGUGUCAAGGAGAGGUCAAGCAUAGGAGGAUAACGGGUCAAGAUAAGGCAAGGUGACAAAUACACUUAUUGGAGUACUCGAGGUAUGGGAUCGUUGGCUUCAUGAAGAAAUGGAGCUGGAUUUGGAUAAGAGUAUUUAAGAAAGCGCUUGGACAAUUCCACGACUACUUUAUAGAAUGCUCUACGAAAUUCUAUUAUAUAGUUUAAUGUUGUAUGGUAUGUAAAUGACUAAUGGUUUGGUUUUACGUGGUGUCCACAGGUAUCGCUUGGGUUUUCUCUACAUUUAUUGAAGUGAAGCGGACUUAGUUCGAGAUGAGAGCAAGGAUUGUACGGGGAGAAUGGUCACAUAGUGUAACUCAUAUAGGUUUUGAAGUAUUAAUGUUAUAAAACGUUAUAAAUCCGUUUUAAUGAAUAUAUGGCAUUUCGCAUUGAA